rnacentral:lncRNA from 1 species
UGGAUGGAGAGAAUCACUCAGUGGUAUCUGAGUUUUUGUUUCUGGGACUCACUCAUUCAUGGGAGAUCCAGCUCCUCCUCCUAGUGUUUUCCUCUGUGCUCUAUGUGGCAAGCAUUACUGGAAACAUCCUCAUUGUGUUUUCUGUGACCACUGACCCUCACUUACACUCCCCCAUGUACUUUCUACUGGUCAGUCUCUCCUUCAUUGACUUAGGAGCCUGCUCUGUCACUUCUCCCAAGAUGAUUUAUGACCUGUUCAGAAAGCGCAAAGUCAUCUCCUUUGGAGGCUGCAUCGCUCAAAUCUUCUUCAUCCACGUCAUUGGUGGUGUGGAGAUGGUGCUGCUCAUAGCCAUGGCCUUUGACAGUUAUGUGGCCCUAUUAAGCCCCUCCACUAUCUGACCAUUAUGAGCCCAAGAAUGUGCCUUUCAUUUCUGGCUGUUGCCUGGACCCUUGUUGUCAGUCACUCCCUGUUCCAACUGGCAUUUCUUGUUAAUUUACCCUUCUGUGGCCCUAAUGUGUUGGACAGCUUCUACUGUGACCUUCCUCAGCUUCUCAGACUAGCCUGUACCGACACCUACAGAUUGCAGUUCAUGGUCACUGUUAACAGUGGGUUUAUCUGUGUGGGUACUUUCUUCAUACUUCUAAUCUCCUACGUCUUCAUCCUGUUUACUGUUUGGAAACAUUCCUCAGGUGGUUCAUCCAAGGCCCUUUCCACUCUUUCAGCUCACAGCACAGCGGUCCUUUUGUUCUUUGGUCCACCCAUGUUUGUGUAUACAUGGCCACACCCUAAUUCACAGAUGGACAAGUUUCUGGCUAUUUUUGAUGCAGUUCUCACUCCUUUUCUGAAUCCAGUUGUCUAUACAUUCAGGAAUAAGGAGAUGAAGGCAGCAAUAAAGAGAGUAUGCAAACAGCUAGUGAUUUACAAGAAGAUCUCAUAA